CAAUGAUUUCCCUAGUAACGGCGAGUGAAGAGGAAAGAGCUCAAAGUUGGAACCUGUUUGGCCUAGCUAAACCGGAUUGUAGACUGUAGAAGUGUUUUCCAGGCAAGCCGAGUAAAUAAGUCCUUUGGAACAGGGCAUCAUAGAGGGUGAGAAUCCCGUCUUUGGCUUGAGCAUUUGCCUUUUGUGAUACGCUUUCAAAGAGUCAGGUUGUUUGGGAAUGCAGCCUAAAUUGGGUGGUAAAUCUCACCUAAAGCUAAAUAUUGGCGAGAAACCGAUAGCGAACAAGUACCGUGAGGGAAAGAUGAAAAGAACUUUGAAAAGAGAGUUAAACAGUAUGUGAAAUUGUUAAAAGGGAACCGUUUGGAGCCAGACUGGCUUGUCUGUAAUCAAUCUAGGCUUCGGCCUGGAUGCACUUGCAGGCUAUGCCUGCCAACGACAAUUUGACUUGAGGGAAAAAACUAAGGGAAAUGUGGCCCACUUGUGGGUGUUAUAGUCCCUUAGAAAAUACCUUGGGUUGGAUUGAGGAACGCAGCGAAUGCUUUUUGGCGAGUUUUCCAGGAAGGUUUUCUGAGGUACUACGGUAUCAAGGUUGAUCUUUUUGGUUAUA
rnacentral:rRNA from 1 species